AUAGCCAUUAGGAAAUAGUGGAUAAUACCGAAUACGCUCAUGACCCUGUGGGGAUAUGAGGAAAACAGGCUACGGUCCUGGCUCGAGGAUGGGCCCGCGUCCCAGUUAGCUAGUUGGUGAGGUAACGGCCACCAAGGCGACGAUGGGUAUCCGGCCUGGAGAGGGUGUACGGACACAUUGGGACUGAGAUACGGCCCAAACUCCUACGGGAGGCAGCAGCUAAGAAUAUUCCGCAAUGGACGAAAGUCUGACGGAGCGACGCCGCGUGGAUGAGAAAAGGGCCGGAAGGUUGUAAAAUCCUUUUGCUGAUGAAGAAUAAGUGUGGUAGGGAAUGACCGCAUGAUGACAUUAGUCGGUGAAUAAGCCCCGGCUAAUUACGUGCCAGCAGCGGC
rnacentral:rRNA from 1 species